ACCAAAACUCACAAAAUCAAUCCCAACCUUUCUUUUGUGGUCAUAAACCUUGUGUCAAAAUUUCAUAGAUUUCUAUUAACUUAAACUAAAGUUAUAGUGCGAAAACCAAGAAAAUGCUUAUUUGGGCCCUUUUUGGCCCCUUAUUCCUAAAAUGUUGGGACCAAAACUCCCAUAAUCAAUCCCAACCUUCCUUUUGUGGUCAUAAACCUUAUGUUAAAAUUUCAUAGAUUUCUAUUCACUUUUACUAAAGUUAGAGUGCGAAAACUAAAAGUAUUCGGACGACGACGACGACGACGACGACGACGCCGCCAACGUGAUAGCAAUAUACGACGAAAAAUUUUUCAAAUUUUGCGGUCGUAUAACAAUUA
rnacentral:lncRNA from 1 species